GCUGAACACACGUAACCCAUUUCUGUGAGACGCRAGAGCUCCAGCAAUGCGCCAAAGGCGGCGAGCGUGGAUCCGAGAGGCACCUUGCGCUUUGCCUCGCAUCUCCAGGACUUGGCUGCCCUUCUCCCUCGUGCCAAAAGGAGUUUGCRAUGGCUGGCCGAGCCGGCCACGCUCACAGCUGGAGGCGCAGCGAGAACUCUUCCACGUUAAACCAUCAGCAAAAGAAGAACACGCAUGGACAUCGCCUAUAAAUACCUUCCGCAAUGAAACAGAACAGGAUACGGGCUGGAAUACUCGCUUGGACACAAGACAGACCACCUAAAUAAUGCAAAAGCAGUGAAUGCUAACUAUCGGAUUCUUGUGGAUGUACUAAACCAACCUGUCAGACCAACUAGCACAGCCAUGUGGCACUUGAUUUCUCAGGGUUUUUUUCCCAUGUAUUUCAUUAAUACAUCUUACACUAAUUCAGGAAAAAUAUUAAUCAUAAAUUUUAAAAGAUGAAAUUAGAUGCCUAAUGUAUGAGUAAAUAUUUAUACUGGCAUGGCUCUAUUCAGAAAGUCAAACACUACCUUUGCUAAAGUAUACUUUGAAAAAUACAAAUGCUUUACUUAUGCCUUUUGGUCUGCUUUAUCUUCUACCAUUUUAAGCAUGUCUCCUGAUUAAUGAUGACAUUUACAUAAUAUAUUUAUACUUUCCUUCAAAUUAACAGAGCUUAUUCUCAGUGCUAUAUUCUCAGACCUAAAAAUCUCUACCCAUAUGAUUACAGUACAUGCAAUCAAUUUUGACUGCUUUUUUGAAUUACUGAAAAGUAACUCCUUGACAUUAAAAAGGUGAAAAUUUGGGAAUGCAAAUUUUUUUAARUUCUCCUAAAUGUGUAUCUUAUCAAGGAUACAGAGUGUUUGUGGGGGUGUGCACRAGUGGGCAUGUACACAUAUAUGAUAAUCUAUGAAUCUAUGCACAGGAAUACCACUACAUUUUAAAACAGAAAUUAAGAAUUCUUUAAAAUCA
rnacentral:lncRNA from 1 species